rnacentral:rRNA from 1 species
AUCAUGAGUCCGCAUGUUCACAUGAUUAAAGGUAUUCCGGUAGACGAUGGGGAUGCGUUCCAUUAGAUAGUAGGCGGGGUAACGGCCCACCUAGUCUUCGAUGGAUAGGGGUUCUGAGAGGAAGGUCCCCCACAUUGGAACUGAGACACGGUCCAAACUCCUACGGGAGGCAGCAGUGAGGAAUAUUGGUCAAUGGGCGAGAGCCUGAACCAGCCAAGUAGCGUGAAGGAUGACUGCCCUAUGGGUUGUAAACUCCUUUUAUAAAGGAAUAAAGUCGGGUAUGGAUACCCGUUUGCAUGUACUUUAUGAAUAAGGAUCGGCUAACUCCGUGCCAGCAGCCGCGGUAAUACGGAGGAUCCGAGCGUUAUCCGGAUUUAUUGGGUUUAAAGGGAGCGUAGAUGGAUGUUUAAGUCAGUUGUGAAAGUUUGCGGCUCAACCGUAAAAUUGCAGUUGAUACUGGAUAUCUUGAGUGCAGUUGAGGCAGGCGGAAUUCGUGGUGUAGCGGUGAAAUGCUUAGAUAUCACGAGGAACUCCGAUUGCGAAGGCAGCCUGCUAAGCUGCAA